AGUGAACGCUGGCGGUAGGCCUAACACAUGCAAGUCGAACGGCAGCACAGUAAGAGCUUGCUCUUACGGGUGGCGAGUGGCGGACGGGUGAGGAAUACAUCGGAAUCUACUUUUUCGUGGGGGAUAACGUAGGGAAACUUACGCUAAUACCGCAUACGACCUACGGGUGAAAGCAGUGGAUCUUCGGACCUUGCGCGAUUGAAUGAGCCGAUGUCGGAUUAGCUAGUUGGCGGGGUAAAGGCCCACCAAGGCGACGAUCCGUAGCUGGUCUGAGAGGAUGAUCAGCCACACUGGAACUGAGACACGGUCCAGACUCCUACGGGAGGCAGCAGUGGGGAAUAUUGGACAAUGGGCGCAAGCCUGAUCCAGCCAUACCGCGUGGGUGAAGAAGGCCUUCGGGUUGUAAAGCCCUUUUGUUGGGAAAGAAAAGCAGCAGGUUAAUACCCAGCUGUUCUGACGGUACCCAAAGAAUAAGCACCGGCUAACUUCGUG
rnacentral:rRNA from 1 species